rnacentral:rRNA from 1 species
CCUACGGGAGGCAGCAGUGAGGAAUAUUGGUCAAUGGACGCAAGUCUGAACCAGCCAUGCCGCGUGCAGGAAGACGGCUCUAUGAGUUGUAAACUGCUUUUGUACGAGGGUAAAUCCCGAUACGUGUAUCGUGUUGAAAGUAUCGUACGAAUAAGGAUCGGCUAACUCCGUGCCAGCAGCCGCGGUAAUACGGAGGAUUCAAGCGUUCUCCGGAUUUAUUGGGUUUAAAGGGUGCGUAGGCGGUUCGAUAAGUUAGAGGUGAAAUCCCGGGGCUCAACUCCGGCACUGCCUCUGAUACUGUCGGGCUAGAGUUUAGUUGCGGUAGGCGGAAUGUAUGGUGUAGCGGUGAAAUGCAUAGAGAUCAUACAGAACACCGAUUGCGAAGGCAGCUUACCAAACUACGACUGACGUUGAGGCACGAAAGCGUGGGGAGCAAACAGGAUUAGAUACCCCAGUAGUC